AUGUAGCAAUACAUUAGUGGCGCACGGGUGAGUAAUACAUGGGAACGUGCCUUGGAGUCCGGGAUAACAGCGGGAAACUGCUGCUAAUACCGGAUAUUCCCCUCGGGGGAAAGAUUUAUCGCUCCAAGAUCGGCCCAUGCCAGAUUAGGUAGUUGGUGGGGUAAUGGCCUACCAAGCCUACGAUCUGUAGCUGGUCUGAGAGGACGACCAGCCACACUGGAACUGAGACACGGUCCAGACUCCUACGGGAGGCAGCAGUGGGGAAUAUUGGACAAUGGGCGCAAGCCUGAUCCAGCCAUGCCGCGUGAGUGAUGAAGGCCUUAGGGUUGUAAAGCUCUUUUGUCAGGGAAGAUAAUGACGGUACCUGAAGAAUAAGCACCGGCUAACUUCGUGCCAGCAGCCGCGGUAAUACGAAGGGUGCUAGCGUUGUUCGGAAUUACUGGGCGUAAAGCGCGCGUAGGCGGCUUUUCAAGUCAGGGGUGAAAUCCCACGGCUCAACCGUGGAAUUGCCUUUGAAACUGUGAAGCUAGAGUGUCGGAGGGGAUAGCGGAAUUGCUAAUGUAGAGGUGAAAUUCGUAGAUAUUAGCAGGAACACCGGUGGCGAAGGCGGCUAUCUGGACGACAACUGACGCUGAGGCGCGAAAGCGUGGGGAUCAAACAGGAUUAGAUACCCUGGUAGUCCACGCUGUAAACGAUGGGUGCUAGCUGUUGGGAGGUUACCUCUCAGUAGCGCAGCUAACGCGUUAAGCACCCCGCCUGGGGAGUACGGUCGCAAGAUUAAAACUCAAAGAAAUUGACGGGGACCCGCACAAGCGGUGGAACAUG
rnacentral:rRNA from 1 species